AAAAAUUGAGGUAUUCAUACCUCUUUUUGUAUUUAAAACCUUACUCUAUAAAACCUAACAAAUUUUAUAUAUGAAAAUGAA
rnacentral:misc_RNA from 1 species